GACAGAGGUGCCAAGCGUUAGGCGGAAUCACUGGGCUUAAAGCGCGCGUAGGCGGACCUGCAAGUCGGGGGUGAAAGCCCGAGGCUCAACCUCGGAACUGCCUUCGAUACUGCGGGUCUCGAGUCCGGGAGAGGUGAGUGGAAUUCCUAGUGUAGAGGUGAAAUUCGUAGAUAUUAGGAAGAACACCAGUGGCGAAGGCGGCUCACUGGCCCGGUACUGACGCUGAGGCGCGAAAGCGUGGGGAGCAAACAGG
rnacentral:rRNA from 1 species